rnacentral:miRNA from 10 species
GGGCAGCACCAUCCAGAUUCAAAGCAUCCAACAUGACUCCACCGAUCAGAGUGGAGCCUCAUCACUGGGGGGGUCCGUCCCA